CUACGGGCGGCUGCAGUGGGGAAUAUUGGACAAUGGGGGAAACCCUGAUCCAGCAAUGCCGCGUGUGUGAAGAAGGCCUGCGGGUUGUAAAGCACUUUCGGUUGGGAGGACUGCUUCUAGCACUAAUAUUGUUGGAAGUUGACGUUACCUUCAGAAGAAGCACCGGCUAACUCCGUGCCGAGCAGCCGCGGUAAUACGGAGGGUGCAAGCGUGAAUCGGAAUGACUGGGCGUAAAGCGCGCGUAGGCGGCUAGAUCAGUCGGGUGUGAAAGCCCCGGGCUUAACCUGGGAACUGCAUCCGAUACUGUCUAGCUUGAGUACAGGAGAGGAGAGUGGAAUUCCACAUGUAGCGGUGAAAUGCGUAGAUAUGUGGAGGAACACCAAUGGCGAAGGCAGCUCUCUGGCCUGAUACUGACGCUGAGGUGCGAAAGCGUGGGGAGCAAACAGGAUUAGAUACCCCGGUAGUC
rnacentral:rRNA from 1 species